rnacentral:rRNA from 1 species
UACGAAGGGGGCCAGCGUUGUUCGGAAUCACUGGGCGUAAAGCGCACGUAGGCGGCGCGUUAAGUCAGGGGUGAAAUCCUGGAGCUCAACUCCAGAACUGCCUUUGAUACUGGCGUGCUCGAGUGUGGGAGAGGUUGGUGGAACUCCGAGUGUAGAGGUGAAAUUCGUAGAUAUUCGGAAGAACACCAGUGGCGCAGGCGUACAUCUGGCCCAUUACUGACGCUGAGGUGCGACAGCGUGGGGAGCUAACAGG